GUGUGGCCGCGUUAGCGAUUGCAGCGAAAAUCCUUUUAUGCAAUGCAAUGAAAUAAAAGAUUGCAGCGGAAAGCGCGGCCCGCA
rnacentral:sRNA from 1 species